rnacentral:tRNA from 1 species
GCCGGCAUAGCUCAGUUGGUAGAGCAACUGAUUUGUAAUCAGUAGGUCGGGGGUUCGACUCCCUCUGCCGGCACCA